GUCCACGCCCUAAACGAUGUCUACUAGUUGUCGGUCUUAAUUGACUUGGUAACGCAGCUAACGCGUGAAGUAGACCGCCUGGGAGUACGGUCGCAAGAUUAAACUCAAAGGAAUUGACGGGACCCGCACAAGCGGUGGAUGAUGUGGAUUAAUUCGAUGCAACGCGAAACCUUACCUACCCUUGACAUGUACGGAAUCCUGCUGAGAGGCGGGAGUGCUCGAAAGAGAACCGUAACACAGGUGCUGCAUGGCUGUCGU
rnacentral:rRNA from 1 species